rnacentral:lncRNA from 1 species
GAAAGGUAAUGGGGAAUGGGUGGUGAGGAAUAGACUGUUGGGGCGAAAGCUUGGAUUUAGAAACAAGAACUAGGAGAUUUGGGUGAGAAUUGAGAAAGUUAGGAGGUUUUUGGUGUGGGUUUGUUUGAGAGAGUAUGAGUGUUUGUGAGAGGAAGGGAGAGUGAAAGAGAUGAAGGUCGUGGGUAUGGGUAGGUCUAGGGUCGUCUGGUUAGGUUUAGGGCUGUUUAACUCGAAUUAAACCGGACAAAAUCGAAGAGGGACUUACCUGGACCGGCUCGGGAGCGACCUGGAGUGGUCGCUCUGAUAGGUCGCUCCGGGUCGUUUUCUCGCGUCGUGUGUCGACGAAAGGGCGAGCGACUCGUAGGUGUCGCUCUGAAGACGUCGCUCUGAUCAACAGAAAACGCGAGCGACCUCACGUGGUCGCUGCGAGACGUCGCUCCGAGAGCGAUUCUCGAGCCCCGGAGACAGAAAUCCGAGCGACUUAGCCGAGUCGCUCUGAUCACGUCGCUUCUAGUCACAGAAAACGCGAGCGACCUCACGUGGUCGCUGCGAGACGUCGCUCCGAGCGCGACUCUCGAGCUCCGGACACCGAAAAUGCGAGCGACUUGGACCAGUCGCUCUGAUCACGUCGCUCCCAGCUGGAGCGACCUCGUGGCGUCGCUGCGGAACCUCGCUCCUACGCUCGAUUCUUUGCCUUGACCGGAUCGAUGAACCACAUGAACACUACUUCAACACUUUUCCUUUUUUUUUGUUUUAUGAAAUAUGAUGAAAAUGAUAAUACCAAUGCAAUAUGUACAAGGAUACGCAUGGGACUUCCUCCCAAGUGAGCUUGUUUUAAGUCUCUAGCUUGACUUUACCUCCUUUUGGAUUAGGCUGGGGUAGGAUCAGACAGUGGAGUUGAAACUCCAUCUUCCUCAGGUGCAUCUGCCAUGUAGAGCUUAACCCUUUGCCCAUGACUG